rnacentral:rRNA from 1 species
UCGGGAAUUUUGGGCAAUGGGCGAAAGCCUGACCCAGCAACGCCACGUGAGGGAUGAAGUAUUUCGGUAUGUAAACCUCGAAAGAGUGGGAAGAAUAAAUGACGGUACCAUUUAUAAGCUCCGGCUAACUACGUGCCAGCAGCCGCGGUAAUACGUAGGGAGCAAGCGUUGUUCGGAUUUACUGGGCGUAAAGGGCGCGUAGGCGGCGCGGUAAGUCACUUGUGAAAUCUCUGAGCUUAACUCAGAACGGCCAAGUGAUACUGCUGUGCUAGAGUGCGGAAGAGGCAACCGGAAUUCUUGGUGUAGCGGUGAAAUGCGUAGAUAUCAAGAGGAACACCUGAGGCGAAGGCGGGUUGCUGGGCCGACACUGACGCUGAUGCGCGAAAGCCAGGGGAGCAAACG